rnacentral:misc_RNA from 1 species
GUAUAGUAGUGCGUGUGCACAACAGUAAUUUCAUUACAUUCGAGUGGGUGUAAAAUCCUCUGCUGGCCGAAGCUAGCAAGAGGCCAAAGGUGCACAGGGUAUUGGAUGAAAGUCACCGACGUGCACUUGCCGAAACCGGCCAGCACUGAAGGUAACGAUUCGCAAUCAAUAAUGAUCCUUCCGCAGGUUCACCUACGGAAA